ACUCCUACGGGGAGGCAGCAGUGGGGAAUAUUGCACAAUGGGCGCAAGCCUGAUGCAGCCAUGCCGCGUGUGUGAAGAAGGCCUUCGGGUUGUAAAGCACUUUCUAGUCGUGAGGAAGGUAGUGUAGUUAAUAGCUGCAUUAUUUGUACGUUAGCGACAGAAGAAGCACCGGCUAACUCCGUGCCAGCAGCCGCGGUAAGUACGGAGGGUGCGAGCGUUAAUCGGAAUUACGUGGGCGUAAAGCGCAUGCAGGUGGUUUGUUAAGUCAGAUGUGAAACGCCGGGGCUCAACCGUCGGAAUAGCAUUUGAAACUGGCAGACUAGAGUACUGGUAGAGGGGGUUAGAAUUUCGA
rnacentral:rRNA from 1 species